UCAGGUAGUAGUGGGUGUAGCGUACCUACUAGCCUACGACGGGUACGGGUUGUGAGAGCAAGAGCCCGGAGAUGGAUUCUGAGACACGAAUCCAGGCCCUACGGGGUGCAGCAGGCGCGAAAACUUUACAAUGCUGGAAACAGCGAUAAGGGGACCUCGAGUGCCAGGUUACAAAUCUGGCUGUCGUGAUGCCUAAAAAGCAUUGCAUAGCAAGGGCCGGGCAAGACCGGUGCCAGCCGCCGCGGUAACACCGGCGGCUCGAGUGGUAACCGUUAUUAUUGGGUCUAAAGGGUCUGUAGCCGGCCGGAUAAGUCUCUUGGGAAAUCUGGCAGCUUAACUGUCAGGCUUUCAGGAGAUACUGUCAGGCUCGAGGCCGGGAGAGGUGAGAGGUACUUCAGGGGUAGGGGUGAAAUCUUGUAAUCCUUGAAGGACCACCAGUGGCGAAGGCGUCUCACCAGAACGGACCUGACGGCAAGGGACGAAAGCUAGGGGCACGAACCGGAUUAGAUACCCGGGUAGUCCUAGCCGUAAACGAUACUCGCUAGGUGUCGGCAACGGUGCGACCGUUGUCGGUGCCGUAGGGAAGCCGUGAAGCGAGCCACCUGGGAAGUACGGCCGCAAGGCUGAAACUUAAAGGAAUUGGCGGGGGAGCAC
rnacentral:rRNA from 2 species